CCUGCUUAAGGCAGGAAGAAGGAACAGCAGAAGAGCAUCGUGCUGAGUGUGAGAGGAGUGAAGCUUGUCUUUACCUCUGAAAGCGUGACUGAGGCACUGCUGAUCGUAAUUGCCAGACUCCCUGAAUUCCUGUCGAAUUUACUGCCAGCCACAGAUGAUCAAAAAGCCUGGCCAUCCCCAUCCCUUCUGCUUUGUAAGAAUCCUCACUGUUGGGACCUGGCAGUGCCCAUGUUGGGACCUGGUCACCUCCAGCUGCAUUACUGGAUCUCAGUUUGUGACCAAGGAAUAUACAAUUUCUUUGAAGCCAAAGUAGAGUUACUGGCAAAGCCAAGACU